rnacentral:rRNA from 1 species
AUGAAACACUCCUACGGGAGGCAGCAGUGGGGAAUUUUGGACAAUGGGCGCAAGCCUGAUCCAGCCAUGCCGCGUGAGUGAAGAAGGCCUUCGGGUUGUAAAGCUCUUUCGGCCGGGAAGAAAUCGUGUUCUCUAACAUAGGACAUGGAUGACGGUACCGGACUAAGAAGCACCGGCUAACUACGUGCCAGCAGCCGCGGUAAUACGUAGGGUGCGAGCGUUAAUCGGAAUUACUGGGCGUAAAGCGUGCGCAGGCGGUUUUGUAAGACAGAUGUGAAAUCCCCGGGCUUAACCUGGGAACUGCGUUUGUGACUGCAAGGCUAGAGUACGGCAGAGGGGGGUGGAAUUCCUGGUGUAGCAGUGAAAUGCGUAGAUAUCAGGAGGAACACCGAUGGCGAAGGCAGCCCCCUGGGCCUGUACUGACGCUCAUGCACGAAAGCGUGGGGAGCAAACAGGAUUAGAAACCCUGGUAGUCCGAAGUUC